rnacentral:rRNA from 1 species
GAUGAACGCUGGCGGCGUGCCUAAUACAUGCAAGUCGAGCGAACGGACGAGAAGCUUGUUUCUCUGAUGUUAGCGGCGGACGGGUGAGUAACACGUGGAUAACCUACCUAUAAGACUGGGAUAACUUCGGGAAACCGUAGCUAAUACCGGAUAAUAUUUUGCACCGCAUGGUUCAAAAGUGAAAGACGGUCUUGCUGUCACUUAUAGAUGGAUCCGCGCUGCAUUAGCUAGUUGGUAAGGUAACGGCUUACCAAGGCAACGAUGCAUAGCCGACCUGAGAGGGUGAUCGGCCACCCUAGAGCGUAGACACGGUCAAGACUCCUACGAGAGGCAGCAGAAGGGAAUCUUCCGCAGUGGGCGAAAGCCUGACGGAACAGCGCCGCGUGAGUUAUGAAGGUCUUCGGAUCGUAAAACUCUGUUAUUAGGGAAGAACAGAUGUGUAAGUAACUGUACACAUCUUGACGGUACCUAAUCAGAAAGCCACGGCUAACUACGUG